rnacentral:rRNA from 1 species
UCGACGAGAGAAUUGCUAGCUUGCUAAUAAUUCUCUAGUGGCGCACGGGUGAGUAACACGUGAGUAACCUGCCCCCGAGAGCGGGAUAGCCCUGGGAAACUGGGAUUAAUACCGCAUAGUAUCGAAAGAUUAAAGCAGCAAUGCGCUUGGGGAUGGGCUCGCGGCCUAUUAGUUAGUUGGUGAGGUAACGGCUCACCAAGGCGAUGACGGGUAGCCGGUCUGAGAGGAUGUCCGGCCACACUGGAACUGAGACACGGUCCAGACACCUACGGGUGGCAGCAGUCGAGAAUCAUUCACAAUGGGGGAAACCCUGAUGGUGCGACGCCGCGUGGGGGAAUGAAGGUCUUCGGAUUGUAAACCCCUGUCAUGUGGGAGCAAAUUAAAAGGAUAGUACCACAAGAGGAAGAGACGGCUAACUCUGUGCCAGCAGCCGCGGUAAUACAGAGGUCUCAAGCGUUGUUCGGAAUCACUGGGCGUAAAGCGUGCGUAGGCUGUUUCGUAAGUCGUGUGUGAAAGGCGCGGGCUCAACCCGCGGACGGCACAUGAUACUGCGAGACUAGAGUAAUGGAGGGGGAACCGGAAUUCUCGGUGUAGCAGUGAAAUGCGUAGAUAUCGAGAGGAACACUCGUGGCGAAGGCGGGUUCCUGGACAUUAACUGACGCUGAGGCACGAAGGCCAGGGGAGCGAAAGGGAUUAGAUACCCCUGUAGUCCUGGCAGUAAACGGUGCACGCUUGGUGUGCGGGGAAUCGACCCCCUGCGUGCCGGAGCUAACGCGUUAAGCGUGCCGCCUGGGGAGUACGGUCGCAAGAUUAAAACUCAAAGAAAUUGACGGGGACCCGCACAAGCGGUGGAGUAUGUGGCUUAAUUCGAUGCAACGCGAAGAACCUUACCUGGGCUUGACAUG